CGCGCAGCUAGAUUGGGCCGGAUCCCAGGCUAUUAUUUAAUUAUUACUAAUGAUUUUUGACAACUUUAGCAUUUUUUGCAAUGAAAUUGAAAACUUCCAAACAUGUAUACUUGUCCUAGAUGCAAGAAACUAGCUAUUAAAAGUAACAGCAAAAUGUAAUCUUCAACAAAAAUUGUAGUAGUUAUUGCACUCAAAAGUUAGAUAAUAGUUUGACCUGGUUCAACCCAUACUUUUUUUGCCAUAAUUUAGAUUUUUGGCAAUUUAUUUUAAUAAGUUAUAUUUAAGGAUGUUCGCUACUCCGUUUCAAAAUAACAAGCUUUUUAAAAGACAUUUAUAAAUUGAUAGCAUGUAAAAAAAGAAACUAAAAAAGCAGAAAAAAAUGAAGGGUUCGUGUGCUUGUUUUCGAGAUAUAAGCCGUUGAAAAUUUGGCGGGAAAUGAUUCUCUCUAGAUUUUUCAUGCAUUUAACAUUGGCACCUUUUUCCUUUCA
rnacentral:lncRNA from 1 species